rnacentral:rRNA from 1 species
UGGGGAAUAUUGCACAAUGGGCGAAAGCCUGAUGCAGCGACGCCGCGUGAGUGAAGAAGUAUUUCGGUAUGUAAAGCUCUAUCAGCAGGGAAGAAAAUGACGGUACCUGACUAAGAAGCCCCGGCUAACUACGUGCCAGCAGCCGCGGUAAUACGUAGGGGGCAAGCGUUAUCCGGAUUUACUGGGUGUAAAGGGAGCGUAGACGGCGAAGCAAGUCUGAAGUGAAAACCCAGGGCUCAACCCUGGGACUGCUUUGGAAACUGUUUUGCUAGAGUGUCGGAGAGGUAAGUGGAAUUCCUAGUGUAGCGGUGAAAUGCGUAGAUAUUAGGAGGAACACCAGUGGCGAAGGCGGCUUACUGGAUGAUAACUGACGUUGAGGCUCGAAAGCGUGGGGAGCAAACAGG